rnacentral:rRNA from 1 species
CAAAUGAAUUGACGGGGGCCCGCACAAGCGGUGGAGCAUGUGGUUUAAUUCGAUGCAACGCGAAGAACCUUACCUGGUCUUGACAUCCACAGAACUUUCCAGAGAUGGAUUGGUGCCUUCGGGAACUGUGAGACAGGUGCUGCAUGGCUGUCGUCAGCUCGUGUUGUGAAAUGUUGGGUUAAGUCCCGCAACGAGCGCAACCCUUAUCCUUUGUUGCCAGCGGUCCGGCCGGGAACUCAAAGGAGACUGCCAGUGAUAAACUGGAGGAAGGUGGGGAUGACGUCAAGUCAUCAUGGCCCUUACGACCAGGGCUACACACGUGCUACAAUGGCGCAUACAAAGAGAAGCGACCUCGCGAGAGCAAGCGGACCUCAUAAAGUGCGUCGUAG